GGACCGUCUUUAUCAGAAGCCGCCCGAAGUGAUUAUGAAGUUCUUUAAAGUUCUGAGAGAAGCGGACAAACAUCUUCACGAUCAACUUGAUUUAAGAGUCCCUACAAUACGUCAACCUCCUGAAAAUUCCGAAGACAGGAUAGUGGCAUUUGCCCUUUCUUUAAAUGCCACAGCUAUCAAAGGCCAACAGUCGCAAAGAUUAACGGGACAAAAUGAAAAAGUUUACGACUACAAU